rnacentral:lncRNA from 1 species
UUUUAAAACAAUCCGUUUAUUAGAAAAAUAUACACUAUGCUCUACAGUGUCAGUUCAUUAAUAAAUAUUGUACAUACCAUUUAGUCAUUAAAUUAACAAGCAGAAUAAUUCAUAAAACAUUAACGCAUUUAAAUUCCAGAUAACAAAAAAAUAGAAAAUGAGACUAGUAAAAGUGAAAACAUUGAAUAACGCAGUCAUUUAGCACAAUUAUUAAUGUUAAUAUACUAUGAUUAAUAAAAAUAAUAAUAUCAUUUUACAGUAUUUCUACAAAACUUUUGGCUGAUUAAGUGAACCUGUAGGGUGAUUGUGAAAUUUACGUGUGAUCAUGAACUUUAUGCUAAAUGGAAGACAGAAACUAGACUUGAAAGAAUGACACUAUAUAAAAAAGCUAAAUAAAAUAAAAUGUCACUGUGAAAACCCUAGAGUGUUAAAAUUUGAAUGUGUGUCAUGAGUCAGAAUCUAACUAGGGUGACUACUUAAUAUUACAUUGUAUUUUUAGGUAAAGGUUAGGGCUGAACAAAAUUAAACGUUUUUCAUUAAGCGCGGCAUUUUUGAUUUUAUGACACUGAUAUUUUUUCAUAGGUAAGGCAUUCUGGUUGAGAACAUGGCUCUAUAGUUGAACCUAUAAGAGUUCUGGGACAACAUUCUUAUAAAUAAGAAACUACUAUUGAAACUAGUAAGAGGUCAUUUGUGUAAUUUUUAGAAUGAUCUUUAAAUGACGACCAUGAACUUUAUUCUGUGUUUUCGACUCACUAACACUUGAGUAUUGCUUGAGUUACCCUCUACCAUCACACAAAUAAGAUUGAAACUGAUAUCUUUCAAUAAAAAGCAGAAAUAAUGAUUGUUUGUUGCAGCAAUGUCUAUUAAAAAAAUAACCCAAUCUGUAGAAUAAUCACUUGAUUUGCAGCAAUUGUCAAUGUGUGUUCCAAUGGAUUAAUGAUGCUAUUAAAAUGAACGUAAAAAAAUAGAUCGUAUAACAAAAUGUAUCAGAUUAUAACAAAGCUGUAAAGCUAUCAUUAUGGAUUAAUGUGAAUAAUGACCAGGUUUUCUUUUACAAACAGAGACUCUCUAUUAGUUUUAUAUUCAGAUCAAUUUAAGUAUGGCACAAUUCAAUAAAACAGACCAUUGUAACAUUUGUGUUUAACAGAAAUGUUAUGGCAGUGUUUGACCACCACACUUUGGCACAGUUAAAUGCAUUGUGCUCACUUAAAAUUAAUUUACAAGUUUGUGCAGUAAUAAAUCAUAACUGGUUGUCAUCAUUAGGUAAUAUCAGUAAACACACAUCACUCAAUUCCCGCAACAUUUGCUUAGUACUCAAAUAACUCUUAGGCGAGCAAAUCAUCUUUAGCUGAAUGUGUGCACAAAUUUUUUUAAAUGUUAAAAGUACGUAUUUAGAGAGACAUGCAAACUGAACAUGUUAAAGAACACAUGUAACACUUAAUAUAUUUUUUGUCUUACAGUGGCUCUGUCAUCAUAUAUAUAUGCAUGUGUCAUUCGGUUGAAUUCCAAAAACUGUCUAUCUUAUGUUGAUAAUUUGUCAUCACCAUCAUCAUCUUCUUCUAAGCAGUUUUUAUUAUAAAUAUCAAAUAAAUUAUGUCCAGCUCACUUUUUAUAUAGAAUGCACAAAGCAUCAUUAGACAGAUCGAACAACAAUUUCCUGUUUUUUACUCCACGGAAAGCUGUGAGCUACGUUACGUCACAUUUUAAUUGGCUAGUGACAUCACAUGUUCUCUGCAAGCAGGAAAUGUCACUGGUGGAUUUGAAAUGUUGAUGCAAUUUAAAAAUGGUCACUGCCAUACGGAAGCAUUUACAGAUCUUUAAAUGGUAAUUCCAACUAAAUGUACUAAAAGUAGCUUAAAUUGAAAUAAAAUGAAACUAUGCAUUACUGUUGUGAAGUGAUUCAAGUUGCAGUGAUACUUGAAGCAGAAAUAUACAUAAAGUGUAGUGUCACUCUCUAAAAUCUCCAUCCGUGGUGCCUACAGACCAGGGUGGACCAUUGUAACAUGUCAAUAAUCAUGAAGAAAGUUGGACCGAGCAAUUAUAGCUGGUGUUUAGGCCGGCUUAUAGUGGAAAACCACCGGCUCCCAGAAGAGCCUUUCUCAAGCUUGAUACCCUUUCAUAUAUGCCCGGUCCAACUUUCUUCAUGAUUACUUGAAGCAGAAAAUAAGAAAUAACUUAUGUUUCUCCCAUUUUAAGUAAGAUAUUUCAACACGCAAAAAUGAGAACAGACACCGUUGCAAAACGUACUGUAUGCAUACGACUUCUUGUGGCCCAAGCAUUUCCUUUAUUUUCCGGGGCAGGUGAGAUGGUUCUUAAUAUAGCUGUUUUAACUUAACUAGAAUUUGCCAACAAUCGACUGCUUAAGGAUAAUAAUGCAGUUUUGUCAGGAAACAAUGUCCAUGUCAAAUGUACUCAUUUCUUGGCUAAGUGUGUGCAAGGUUUCCUGAGCCAACAAUCAUCAUCAGUCUCAUGGUAUGAUAUAACCCUCACAACUUAGUACUGACCUACAAAUGUACUGAAACCAGGAAUGCAACAUUCUAGUUAUUGAAAGCCAUAGGGUAAUCUUUCACCCUAUCCCAAAUUGUUGAAAAAUUUCCCUGAUUGUUUACUCGGCCUAGUAGGGACACAUCAUAAAACUGAGGGUAUCGUGUGUACCAAGACCAAAACCAAAUAAUUUUAUUGUUUUAACCUGACAAUUUGUAGAAUGAGUACAUCUUCUACAUCAUUUUUUGUAUACAGUGACUUAGUAUGUUAAAUUAAAGAUAAAUGUCUAUGUCAGGUUUGGAAAUGAGUAAAUUAAUAUUGAUGGGAGGUGGAACAGUUGAUCUGCCAAUUUUACAAUAUUUGUACUUUCAUACAUGAACCAAGGACAAUAACUGGACUCCGAAGAGGCAUUCCACUUAAUUGGCUACAUACUGAUUUAAUUUGGAACCAAGUUACAGUCUCUUUUAAUUAUAUAUUCAUAUCUAGGACUUGAUAUUGAGUAAUACUCUACAAUUUGACAUCUGCUUUUCACAAAUAAAACAACUGAGUCAAGCAACAUGCUAUUAGUUCUUGAAUAGUAAACACUUUGUCAUAAUUUUUUUAUUGCUCUCUUAAAAGGAACGUCUGUAACUCAUUGACCAUACUGAUAAUCUUUGUCUAUUUCACAUCCAUGCUGGCUUAUAAAUUAAGAAAGGAAUGUUGUAAUCAUGACAAAGAUGCCGGAUGAUGUGCAGGUUUAAACACUUGGUAUUAUUUCCAAUCAAAAUGUUUUUCUUUAUAUAAUAACACAUAGAUUAAAAAGAUAUGGAGAUAGGUGAUAAGGAAAUGUUGGUCUAAAAGGUUAGCAAUGAUUUGGUUUCUGCAUGCCCUACUUUGUGAGAAAGUCUUUUAACACAGACCAGACAUUACUAUUGGUCAGCCUGGAGGAAUUCAAUUUUUCAUGUUACACCGGCUUUGUUACUUGUCUACGGUCAAAUUGAGAAUAAGUUGAUGUAUGUGAGAGAAACACUAUUAUCACUCUCGCUAUUCAACACCCAGGCUGAACACAAGAGUUCAAUCCCAGUACAUUAAAUUCUCACUGGAAAAAAAUAAUAAUUUAAAACUGUAGAUAAGGGAAGUAAUAUCUUCUUCCAAAACAAAACAAAAAAAAAGAAAGAGCAUGUACAUCUACAUUUGUCAAACAAGAUCAUAAUCUAUAUAACAGGCAUACGGUGAAUGAAGACAUACUUCUACCCAGUCCUUAAGUGAUUUUUGCAGGAUAUAUUGCCUGGGCCCCUAGCAAGCACACAUUAUUUUCCUGCUAAUUUUUUAAUCUUUUGGCUACACAGAUAAAGUGAGACCUGCCGUCCAAUACGUUUUAUACAGAUGUCUCUGCCCCGCUUAACCUUUAAAUGGCAUAACAUGUAUUGCGUCAAGAAGAACAUGGGAUAUAAAUCUAGCCUAAUCAAGAGAUUAGUUGAUCCUGAGGAUAUCGCUCUAUGUGUCUGUAUGGAAACAUAUGCUCUAACAGGUAAAGAUUAAGCAAAAUUCUCAUCAGAUACCAAAUGGGUCUGAUUUUGUUUUCUCAAUUAUGUUUGAAUUCUCUGCUCUAUUUGUACUUUGCACAUGGAAGAUGGAAGAUUGUUAAGCAUAGUCCAUUUUUUGGUAUUGUGUUUUUAUUUACAAUAAUAAUAGUGCACUCCCCAGUUUUUGGUUUUGAGUUAGUGUUAUUUUGUGUUCACGUAGAGUAAUUAACACUUGGGGUUUGGUUGUAGCUGGGUUUGAUUUCAAAAGUCAUACUUAUAUGGCGCUAGGACUACUGCACUUAUUGGAUCUGGAAGUCUUAGAUGAGAUCACGAUUUCUGAAGUGCACUAUGAACUUCGAAAGAUAGGUAUGAAAAUGAAAAACAGAAAAACUCUAGAGGCACUUCAGUUUCUAAAACAGACCUCAGUGUUAUUAAUGUAAUAUACAAAUUAAAGAAGUAGUUGCAAAAAUAAUUGAAUAUAAUUUACAAUAAUUUCCACUACAAUAAAUCUACCAUAGAUAAAUAAUGUGACAUGAAUUAGAAGGACACUAGAGUGAAGAUUUAUCAAAGGGUCAUGUUCUUAAAAAUGGCACAAAGUACUUAAAGUAAAAAAUCACCAUAGUAACCCGUGCAAAACAGCAGGCACAUUCCCUUUUUACAUCGUCUCCUCACUUUUCAGAACAGAACACUUUGAUUUUUGAUACAUGGCACUUUUUUUGCAAAGAUCCAUACAAAUGGUAAAUUGCAUAAAUAAUGCUUUCAGAUUGAUUCGGAAGGACACUUUGCAAAUUAUAAGAAAAUAUGAGAAAAUGGCUACCUAUGCAUGCAUGGAUUAGAUGAGGCUCUAGUGCUAUUAGUGAUAAGGGUAUCAUUUACAAGUUAAAUAGUCACAGUAAUGUAGGGUUAGAUAAUUCUAAAUAACCAUAGUGAAAACUAAAGCAGAUAAUCACUGGGCUUCAAUGCCUGCAACAUCUGGCUCAUUAGUAUGGCUUAUCUCAUGCCAUUGGAUUUCUUUUGCUGAAAUCUUAGGACUUUGAUGUUAACAUCCUGCACCUUGUACAUAGUCCCGAAUAAAAAUGUAACAUGUCAAGUGACAUUAGGAUCCUCGGACGUACCCAUGGAUUCUACUUUUAAUGCAGUGUUAUGCAAAAUGUCAUAAGAACUAUAAUCCUCUGAACAGCCCAACCAGCUUUUUUUCUGACAAAUAUUUUUUUUAAAUUUAUUUUGAAACUGAAAAGAAAGAAAAACUCUGCUAAGUAUAACACAUAUAUCUUACUUAUACUCUCCAUAUCAUGGUAAAUCUUUCUGGAUCAGUGCAAAUAAUGGCUUGCUACAUUUUGUAUGGAAACGGAUUUUCAAUUAUUAUCAAGUAAAAUAAGAACAUCUUAUUAUCACUUGAUAGCUGUUGAUAUCAUUGAUUUUUUCCACUGCUUCUACUGUUCCCAUUUCCCUUCCAAUUUUAUAAUUUUAUUUAUUGUCUUUUUUAUAAUCAGUGCUGAUGGUUUAUUGUUGGAAAGACAUGUCUUAACAGUAGCUUAAAGCCCUGUAGAAAUACACCACCUCCUGUUGCGGCCAGCAGGUUGUGAAUAACAUGGCUGUGUCACUUUUAAGUUUUACAUAAAGAUUGAUUGUUUAUGAAAAGCUCUUGCUGACUGUGUUGCAAUUCCAAAGAAAUAACAACUUAAUUAAAAGAUAUAAAUGAAACAAGGUAGGGGCUUACUUUGUCUCACAUGACAGACAAUAUUUGGCAACCCUUGGCAAUGGGUGGAGCUUCUGCUGUCACAUCGGUUGGGACAGCUAAUGGGAAUAGUCAUCUUUGUGCACGAACAUACAAUAGAUAUCUAUGACACUGUAUUGCCUAAACAUGAGAUUAUCAUGUGGAAGAUCUUGUCAGCUAAGGCUGCCAGCAGCUGAAGAACCACAAUGGAGGACAGAUGGCAACUUCACAGAAGGAUAAUUUAAAGUAAGUAUGCUAUCAUAACUACUACCGUCCAGGCACCAUCAUACAAGUGGGAAUGAAAAGAUCAGAAAAGGGAUAGUGCCGCAUUAACAUUGAUUUAAAUUUAAUAAGCCCUAACAAACUUUAAAAUUGAGUAUUGGGAAAGUGCUUUUAUAAUUUCAUUUGGUACAGAACAGUCAACAGGAAGUAAGAACGGGUAAAUGAAAGAAGAAAAUGAAAGCCCAAAGGAAAGACACAAGGAUAAACAUUUUAUUGAUACGGUGCAAAAAGAGCAUGGAAAAAGAACACAGUGUGCAAGAGAAAGUGAAUCAGAGCCAAAAUAUUAGGGUUCUAGGAACACAAAACAUUCAUAGAACUCAUCUAUUUUGAUGUGGUGUUACCGGGCAUAACAAGUCGUCGACAUGGAACCAAAAUAUAAAAUUGUUUAAAUGCAUGUUUUGAAAAAAGUAAGUAGUUUAAAAAGACAGAAGGAAAACAUCUGUCACAGAUGUAUGGGCCUCACAGAGAUGCGCUUUGCAACAAAUUUAAAAAGUCAUGCAUACAAAUUGACUAAUAUAAUUAGUCACACAUAUAAUGCCAAUUACAAUGAUUAAUGACAACCUGCAUGUUUUAGCCUAUGAUGAAGGGCCAUAGUUUACAAAACAUGUUGUAUAUCGAUAGACUGAUAGCUCCAAAGAGGGACACUUUAAUUUUAGUGGUGGAAGUGGGGAUGUGGCCAGUGGCAGGUUGCUCAGAGAAAUUUUAGGCGACUUACUAAUAACAAUUUAUGCAACUAAAAUGUAAUUUAGAACAUUAACAAUAUGUCUUAUUUACACAGACUGAUUUCUAAACACAGUUAUUGUAGUUUAAAGACACAUUACUGUGAGUAUUAUGGCUUUGGAGCUCUGUUAUACAAUCGGAUACACCAACAAUAUGGAGCUCCUAUAAAAGAGGGAUAUUAGGAAAGAAAAGAGGGAUAUUAGGAAAGAAAAGAGGGACAGAUGGAUUUAGGCUUAAAGUGGGGACUGCCUCUUCUAAAUAGGGACAUUUGUUAGGUAGGUUAUUACUGCGCUCUGCUGUUUACAACCCUCUAAACAUCAAUGAUACUGCCCUCUGCAGAUAUCACUACAAAAAUAGGGGAACAGGCUUGACACAAAGACCGUUUAUCAAUGUCCCAGCAUAUAAAUGACAGAUAAUUUGGGAUCUCACAGUGAUCAUGAUCAGUUUCCUCUCACAGAAUAUGAACUGACAAAUGCCUAACAUAACAGCACAACAUGACAUAAUAGCACCAGAUAACAGCACAAUACGUGUAGAAAUAAUUGUUGUAAGCUAACAGUGGUGCAAGAUUCAGGCGAAUACAGACUGUUGUUUUAUAUCUAAAAUCAUUGGGUAGGUAGUUUGCACACACCUGUCAAGGUGAGUUACUGCUGAACAUUUAUUUAGGUUUCAGGGCUGUCCACAGAAUAAACACCAGACCUAACACUUACAAUAUCAGGAAUAUUUGGAAGAUCCAACUAUUUUGAUCAAUUUUUCUGUGUAAAAAAGAGUGCAUUUUAAAGUCCAAAACAUAAAUAUAGUUAUUGAAAACUCUAUGUUCACAAUAAGUUUUCAGUUUGGACAAGUGCUGUCAAGAUAUUGCCAGUGCAGUGAUUUUAUAAUAGAAAGACCCUUUUAUAGAACUUAAAUCAAAGAAAACGGCAUUAUCUAAGACAAAAGACAUCUGCAAUUAUUUUUCCCCAAGUGAAAUCCACAAUUACUGAGCGAAGGCAAUGCAUAAAUAUCGUCUUUUAAGAAACUUAGCAGAAUGUGUUUUUAGUUAAAUUUCUGGCACAACUAUCCGUACAAUAAAAGCUGGCAUUUCCGAGUCAUGCAGCGAAAUGAUAACAUUUCAAACAAUUUCAGUGCUUUUCAUUUUCUACAUAUUCACUGCUCCUAGGCAUACUUUUUCGUUGCAAUUUAAAAUACAAUAAUGUCUCUCUUUCUUUAAACAUGCUAAGUGUGUACAAAGAUUAGUUAAAGGAGCACUAUAGGGUGAGGAACACAAACACGUAUUCCUGACCCUAUUGUGUUAAGAACCACUAGCUAACACCCCUGAAUAUAGUAAAAUCAUACAUUUAUUCCAGUCUGCUGCCUCCCUGGCUGACUUCAUCAGAAGUGGUGAUCUCAGCCAAUCGCAAUGCUUUCCCAUUGCUUGAGAUUGUCAAGGAGGCAGAUCCGGGGCACAGCCAGCACAAGCCAAACAGGGCGUUGGCCCAUCAGCAUCUCUUCGUAGAGAUGCAUUGAAUCAAUGCAUCUCUAUGAGAAAAAUUCAGUCUCUCCAUGCAGAGGGUGAAGACACUGAAUGUCAGCCUCAGGAAGCAUGGCUAGUAGCCAUCUGAGGAGUGACCAGUGGAGGUAUCCCUAGGCUGUAAUGUAAACACUGCAUUUUCUCUGAAAAAAACUGUGUUUACUGCAAAAAGCCUGAAGGAACUGACUCAAGUCACCAGAACAACUGCAGCUUAAUUUAAUUGUUCUGGUGAGUAUAGUGUCCCUUUAACCUGUUUCAUUUAAAACAAAACUAAUGACUUAUUGAAUGUUACUCAGAAUUUGAUUACACUGAUGGUGCCUGUGCUUAAAUAAACAAUUCAAACACCAAAAGCACUUUAGCUUGCUGAAGUACUUUAUGUGUCUACAGUGUGUCAGCUUUUUUCAUUUUAAAAAGCAAUGCAGAUUUAAAAAAAAGGUUCAUAAUUUAAACAUGUUACACACCCAUGUCUGUCAAUCGGGCAACCGGUUCUUUAGAUUCCUGGUUUGUGUAUAUCAGUGGAGCUAAUCAAGAGGCAGGUGAUUGCCUGGUACAAAUUCCUUGCAAAGCCUUCUCAUUGAGCUGCAUUUGUAAGUCUGUGAUUGGAAAGCCACUGAAAUUCUGUGCUGGGGAAAAAGGGGAGGGCUUUAAAAGGCUGCAGACAGCUAUUCUGUAGCUUUUGGAAAUUAAAUUUGUGAAACAUAACACUAAUGUUGAUAAAGCAAAAAUCUUGUUGCUACAUUAUUGAAGACUAAUGUAUUAUCAAUUGCACUAGAGUACCAAAAAAAAAGAAAUCACUAUGGCCAAACCAAACCGAACAGAACUAUACAUUCAAGUUGCCAUUCCAAAUACUACUUUACAGAAAUAGUACAUAGAAUAGUUAUCCAAUGGAAGUAGGAAAGGCUAACAUACGAAUUCAAGAAGCCUUGAGAACCCAGAAGAAUAAAUAAGCAAACUUAGUCUGGGGUUUCCUAAUGGGCCAGUUUGUUCUUAUCAUUAAAUGGACUACUCUGCUGUUAUCACAAUCUGUUUUUUUUGGUCCCAGUGGGAUUUCAAACCUCCAGAAAUUGCCAACUUUUUUUUUAGCCUGAAAAAUUUAGUAAAUUGCUUCUCUGUUUUUAAGUUAAUUUAAUUUUCAUGUAUAAAACAUAUUCAAUAUCUAAUUUCUCUGAAUUAAUUCUUUGAUCAGGCUCCAGUUUUUAUUUCUCUGUUGCUCUAGAGUUCUAAAAAGAGCAUUUGAGAACACGGGAGCAUUUUUAAAUCUUGUAAAAAUUCAUGUAAGGUAUUCUGAAAAUAUCCACUGAUGGGGAAGCUUUAGGAAUAACAAUGUGAACAUCUUCCUUAUAGCAAAGCCUAAAACACACAGUUUACUAAUGUACCUAACUCAGUUCUGUAUAGAUUAAAAGAAUACCCCAAGUACCAUAACCACUGUAGGGCACUCUAGUUGUUGUUUUAUUGCCAGGAUCUCCUUGGUGCCUCAUUCCAUUGCAAGUAGUUAAAUUAUUUUAGAACCUUUUGUCUUCUUACAUGGAGUCCACUUUGCGCUGCUCCCUACCUCCAAUACUUGUCAGACAGGAAAAGUUCCUGUUUAGGAACUUCUGUUAGAUCACCUAAGCUAAGGCCUGCAGGGCUAGCUCAAUGGCUGAGAAUCAUCUGAUUGCUCUAAGUCAAUGAGCUAAGCUGUGCAUCACCAGGCUCAGCUCAGAUAGAGAGAUUUUGCCUCUCUGGCUCACGUAGUGGAGUCAAGGAGCAGCGCCCAGCAGACAUCUGGUAAGAAGUCAAACAAUUUUAAAAUGAUUUGCCACCUUACAAUGUGAUUUUUUUAACUGCACAUACAGAUCAUGAACAAAAAUAAUUUUAUUCACUACAAAAGGUGCUUUGGGGAUCAAUGCUUUAGUGACCAAAACUGCAGUGUUGUUAUAGAUGCAAAGUACUGUAACACAAAACAUAUAAUUAUAAUGUGCCUGAUCCUCAAAUAUAGUGUCACC